rnacentral:miRNA from 3 species
CUUGGCACCUGGUAAGCACUCA